AGGAGGAGGAAGAGAAGGAGUCCUGUGGGGAAUAAGUGUUGGGAUCCACAGGGUUGCAGAAAGUCAGUGACUCCAAUGAGGAGCAAGGGGCCUGAAAGAGAGGAGGACAUCGAAAUUACUUUGGGCAGGACUGCAGGUGUGCCACAUGGUGGUCAUCCAACCAAAGCUAGGCCCAGGGCUCACCAGGAACACUUAUCCUAUUUUAUCACCGGUGCGUAAAGGUCGUUUCCACCGCUCAGUGUUUCUGAGUGUUACUGGCGGCUGAUCCCCUCCCCGGAGCCUCCCGGUCGGGAGACGUUUUCACUGCACCCUGUAGCCCUGAGCUGCCACGCCCCAGUCAGAGGCAGAAGAAAUCGGCUCUUAACGCGUUAAAGGAAAAAUGCAAGAAAAUGAUUUCCUGAAGAAAAUCCGAGGUGAAACUCACCGGACAUGAUGGCUGGGAUGGAGAGAUGAUUCCUGGAGAAGAGCUGAGGGACUCAACAAUGUCCUUUUCUGCCUCAGCAAAAUGGCCAAGAACGAAAUUUCUGCAAAAGUCUCCAAAAAUAGCAACACAAAUGUCUUACAGCAGAGCCAGAGCAUACAGAAUGAUUGUAAUAGAGCUGGGGACAUAUUAGUUUGAGAUUUUCUCCCUCCAUUCCCUCUAUUUAAAACCCCUAGAACUCAAUGAUUUGACAAUGAUUUGAUUGCGCGUUACUUACCAUUUGAAUAUUCAGAGGCAACUCUCUCAAAUCGAUUUUCAGUAAAAUCACUAAGCAUGAACACUGUAUCAAAUCCACUUUAAUCUCAUAUAUUAGUAUUUUACACUUUAACCUCGAAAAAAAUGCACUUUUAUUCAUUUUACCCUCCUUUUGCACUAUCCCAGCAUCAGCCCCCUUCACUUAGCACUGCAGCACCCACGACUGCUUCCGUGCAACCUUAAGAGCGCAUUUCACCUCAAACCUCGCGUUUAGCCUAGUCACGCAUUUUAAAAAGUUUAUUUCAUAAAAAAUACAUUAAAAGUGGCAAAGAGGGAAAGUGGGUGUGGCAAGGGCCAACAGCCCUCGUUGGCAUGGCAGGGCCUCCAGCUCCAUCAGAGUGCUCACACCUGCUGGGAGAACAGGGAGAGAGGCUCAGCAGCUUCACGCACAGUUCUGUCCUUGUCUUGGUUAUAUUUUCAUGAAAAUAAAAAUGCGUUUCAGGAUCAAAGGUUUCCGGUAAAGUGUGCCGUUUAAGAACCGGCCUUUGAAAUGUUUAACUCCCCCAGCAUUAUGAUUUAUGAUCAUUAUGAUCAAAAACGGUUAUUAUUUUAGAUUUUCUAUCAAAUCUGUGUUGAAAUCGAGUAAAUAAAUAAAUAAAUGAAUAAAUAACGAA